ACAUCAAACUUAAAAUUUGUCUUCUGAAUCAUCCUCUUAAAGGAUAUUCGUCUUCAAAUUAUAUGUCACACGCAAGCCAAUACCUUAACGAGCUUGAUACUUCAUGCUUGGAAGACGGUGAUAAUGUUGGAAGAGGAGUCCUGCAACUAUUAUGAUAAUUAUUAUUAACUGCAUUUAUCCAAAGCUGACGAGAUGAUGACUAAUGAAGUAAUGUAGUUCCAUGUGCAAAGAAAGAUGGACAAAAGUGUUCUCUACAUCCCAACUGAACUUGUGUAGUUUCCCAUAGUGCAUGAGGACAAUAAUAAAGGUGAUGACGAAAAAAUUGGUUGUAUUUUAUAUACAAGUAGUUUUGCUUCAGCAUACCAAUAUGAUACCAAUGAUUCUGUUAGAUAUAUGGACAAGACUAUGAUAUACUCCUAUUUGUUUUAAAUUUUGAAAUAUUAAAGAAUAUUUUUAAUCCUUAUACACUUAUUGUGUGUAAUAUAUAUACCAAUAUUGAUGAGCCAAUGUUAAAUAAGUUUGUUACAUAAUGUGCUAAAAGCUAAGAUUUUAUUUUUAUGUAUUGUGGAAAAUAUUGGAUUAGGCAAAAGGAAUAUGAGAAAAGAAUUUGGUACUUGUAGUCUUCAGUGAUUAUAAUUUGAUUUUUGACUCCAGUGUGACGUUCUAGCUUGCUUGUUGCUUGUAGUAAAGAGUUACAUUAGCGUAAUGCGUUAGGUUCUACUAAUCAUUACUUGAGAAUGAAAAACACAAAUAUUAUCAAUUCCUAAUGAAGAACAUCAAGUAGGCCACGUUUACCAAGUAUGGUCAAUUAUGUGAUGAUCUAUUUCAUAUUAUAAAUUGAUUAGAGAUCAGACGCGUACCUUAAUUGCAUUGAAAGAGGUUUUAUUCAAUCCCUUUGUCUUAGCCAUAUUGGAGGAGCUUCUUUGAUUAAUACAUACUUUGUCUAUGACUUGAAAGUUGAAAAGGUCUCUUAAUCCACUCUUAUAAUAAUGGCCUUUGUGCGAGCAGUAAAGGAGACAUGUGGUAACAAUGCCCUCUAAGAUACUUGUAGGUUGAAUUACUAGUCAUGUCGAGUAAUUCAUACUCGGUUGACACAGUCCGUGUGUGUCGAUAAUAGAAUAUUUUUUGGGUACCCAUGUCAUGGUGCAAAGUAUCAACGGUCCAUAUGAUGACUAAUUUUUGUCAAGUUGGCCAUCUUUUGUAG
rnacentral:lncRNA from 1 species